GAUGAACGCUGGCGGCGUGCCUAAUACAUGCAAGUCGAGCGAACGGACGAGAAGCUUGCUUCUCUGAUGUUAGCGGCGGACGGGUGAGUAACACGUGGAUAACCUACCUAUAAGACUGGGAUAACUUCGGGAAACCGUAGCUAAUACCGGAUAAUAUUUUGAACCGCAUGGUUCAAAAGUGAAAGACGGUCUUGCUGUCACUUAUAGAUGGAUCCGCGCUGCAUUAGCUAGUUGGUAAGGUAACGGCUUACCAAGGCAACGAUGCAUAGCCGACCUGAGAGGGUGAUCGGCCACACUGGAACUGAGACACGGUCCAGACUCCUACGGGAGGCAGCAGUAGGGAAUCUUCCGCAAUGGGCGAAAGCCUGAAGGAGCAACGCCGCGUGAGUGAUGAAGGUCUUCGGAUCGUAAAACUCUGUUAUUAGGGAAGAACAUAUGUGUAAGUAACUGUGCACAUCUUGACGGUACCUAAUCAGAAAGCCACGGCUAACUACGUG
rnacentral:rRNA from 1 species